CUCCUAUUUUAAUCAAAAUCUUCUAUGCAAAGUAUGACUUUUCACUUUUCUUCUUCUCCUAUUUAAAAUCAGCUACUAACCCUCUCGGUCUUGCAUCCCUUCCCUUCUCAAACAAUACCAUCAAUACAUUGUACAGUAAGUCCAUUCCAUUCCUCACUCUUCCUUUUUUUUUUGCCACCAAUCCUCUAUGUAGCAUGGCUCUAGAGAUC
rnacentral:lncRNA from 1 species